rnacentral:rRNA from 1 species
GGCGCACGGGUGAGUAAAAGGUAGGAAUCUACCCCUUGGACGGAGAUAGCUACUGGAAACGGUAGGUAAACUUCGAUAAGCCCGAGAGGGGAAAGUGGUGAGACAGCCGAGGGAUGAGCCUACUCUCCAUCAGGUAGUUGGUGAGAUAAAAGCUUACCAAGCCGAUGACGGAUAACCGGUGUGAGAGCAUGAACGGUCACAAGGGCACUGAGAGACGGGCCCUACUCCUACGGGAGGCAGCAGUGGGGAAUCUUGGACAAUGGGCGAAAGCCUGAUCCAGCGACGCCGCGUGGAGGAAGAAGUCCUUCGGGAUGUAAACUUCUGAACUAGCCGAAUAAAAGGCCUGUGGACACACAGGAGAAGAAAGUAGGCUAGGAAAAGUCCCGGCUAACUACGUGCCAGCAGCCGCGGUAAGACGUAGGGGGCAAGCGUUACCCGGAAUUACUGGGCGUAAAGGGGGCGUAGGCGGUAAAAGAAGUCAUCUGUGAAAACCUAUUGCUCAACGAUAGGCUAGCGGAUGAAACUGAAUUACUUGAGGGCACCAGAGGUAGACGGAAUUACCCGAGUAGGGGUGAAAUCCGCAGAUACGGGUAGGAACGCCGGUGGAGAAGUCGGUCUACUGGGGUGCACCAGACGCUGAGGCCCGAAAGCUAGGGGAGCAAACCGGAUUAGAUACCCGGGUAGUCCCAGCCGUAAACGAUGCUCACUAGGUGUAGGGAGUGAUAAACUCUCUGUGCUGAAGCGAACGCGCUAAGUGAGCCGCCUGGGGAGUACGUCCGCAAGGAUGAAACUCAAAGGAAUUGACGGGGGUCCGCACAAGCGGUGGAGCAUGUGGUUUAAUUCGAUGGUAACCGAAGAACCUUACCAGGGAUUGACAUGUAACUGAAGGUAGAGAAAUCUACUGGCCUGCUGCAAAGCGGGAGGUUACACAGGUGGUGCACGGCCGUCGUCAGCUCGU